rnacentral:rRNA from 1 species
UACGGAGGGAGCUAGCGUUAUUCGGAAUUACUGGGCGUAAAGCGCACGUAGGCGGCUUUGUAAGUUAGAGGUGAAAGCCUGGAGCUCAACUCCAGAAUUGCCUUUAAGACUGCAUCGCUUGAAUCCAGGAGAGGUGAGUGGAAUUCCGAGUGUAGAGGUGAAAUUCGUAGAUAUUCGCAAGAACACCAGUGGCGAAGGCGGCUCACUGGCCCGAUACUGACGCUGAG